rfam:Folsomia candida strain VT population Fcan01_Sc005, whole genome shotgun sequence.
GCAGUGGUAGCUCAGUGGCAGAGCGCUUGUCCGGUAUACAAGAGACACCAGGCUUCAAUGCCUGGCCAGUCCG